UACGUAGGGGGCUAGCGUUGUCCGGAUUUAUUGGGCGUAAAGAGCUCGUAGGCGGUUUGUCGCGUCUGCUGUGAAAACCUAAGGCUCAACCUUGGGCUUGCAGUGGGUACGGGCAGACUAGAGUGCGGUAGGGGUGACUGGAAUUCCUGGUGUAGCGGUGGAAUGCGCAGAUAUCAGGAGGAACACCGAUGGCGAAGGCAGGUCACUGGGC
rnacentral:rRNA from 1 species